UACGGAGGGGGCUAGCGUUGUUCGGAAUUACUGGGCGUAAAGCGCACGUAGGCGGCUUUGUAAGUUAGAGGUGAAAGCCCAGGGCUUAACCCUGGAAUUGCCUUUAAGACUGCAUCGCUAGAAUCGUGGAGAGGUGAGUGGAACUCCGAGUGUAGAGGUGAAAUUCGUAGAUAUUCGGAAGAACACCAGUGGCGAAGGCGACUCACUGGACACGUAUUGACGCUGAGGUGCGAAAGCGUGGGGAGCAAACAGG
rnacentral:rRNA from 1 species